GAGGAGGAGGAGGAAUCGGGAGGAGCAAAGGAGGAGCAGAAUGCUAGGAGGAGGGAGGAAGAGCCAGCAGCUAGGACCGCAGGCAGGCAGUGACUAGGCGGUGGGGACAGCGGUGGCCCCCGUGGGCCCGAGCGCUCGGUGAGGGCCGGUGCAGGGGGGCGUGCCGGAGCUGAGGGUGCCUUUAAGAGUUCAUUUCCGUGUGAGGCGUUCCCUGCGCUGUUCCUCAGGACCUGGUCCUCAAGAACUUGCCCUGCUCUCGCGGAGACCCAGCCUCCGUCGAGCCUCAUUUAUACAGGGUUCCCAUUUCCCCGCUUCCUCCCUUCAACUUUUAGAGCAAACUUGUACCAGCUCUGGGGAAACUAGCUGAGCCUUAGGCCCACAGCCGGAAAAUGGCAAGGAAGAGGAAACCACCCGUUUAUUCUGGCCCCAAACUUCUCUGCAGCACCCCGGGAUCCUAAGUGGGGGUCAGAGGCUGGCCUGGCAGCCAAGUCGUUCCUCGCCAUGCCAGGCGUCUGAGAUGGUGCUCUCAGGUACGAGGGUCCUUCAGAUCCCGUCAAGUACCCUCGAAGAAAUCGUCUGAAAUGAGGACACCCAACUCCUGGCACAGAGACUAGCCUUGGGAAAUGUUUGUUGAAUGAAUGCAUGAGUACCGAGGGAAGCCACAGCGUUUCACAUGCCAGGAAUCAUCCAGGGGUACUUGAAAAGCAAAUCCACUAGUGGCAUUCAGGCAGGUUCAGCAGCGCUGGUCUCUCGGCUGCUGAAACAAGGAUCACAAACCUGCAGGAAGUGGAGUUAAGGCUGGGACCUUUCCUGUCCAUGGAGGAAAGAAACUGCAUCCUUCCUUCCCAUCCAGCAAGUGCAGGGCACAGGGCUCCUCACCAUCCACAGAACCGGAAGGUUAGCUCUGAGCUAACAUCUGCCACCAAUCCUCCUCUG